UACGGGGGGGGCAAGCGUUGUUCGGAAUCACUGGGCUUAAAGGGCGCGUAGGCGGACCAUCAAGUCGGGGGUGAAAUCUUUCAGCCCAACUGGAAAAGGGCUUCCGAUACUGGUGGUCUCGAGGGAGGUAGGGGUCGAGGGAACUAAUGGUGGAGCGGUGAAAUGCGUAGAUAUCAUUAGGAACGCCGGUGGCGAAAGCGCUCGACUGGACCUCUUCUGACGCUGAGGCGCGAAAGCCAGGGGAGCAAACGGG
rnacentral:rRNA from 1 species